rnacentral:rRNA from 1 species
CAGAGGGGGCAAGCGUUGUUCGGAAUUACUGGGCGUAAAGGGCGCGUAGGCGGCCACCUAAGUCAGACGUGAAAUCCCUCGGCUCAACCGGGGAACUGCGUCUGAUACUGGGUGGCUUGAAUUCGGGAGAGGAAUGCGGAAUUCCAGGUGUAGCGGUGAAAUGCGUAGAUAUCUGGAGGAACACCGGUGGCGAAGGCGGCAUUCUGGACCGGCAUUGACGCUGAGGCGCGAAAGCCAGGGGAGCAAACGGGAUUAGAUACCCCGGUAGUCCUGGCCCUAAACGAUGAGUGCUUGGUGUGGCGGGUAUCGAUCCCUGCCGUGCCGAAGCUAACGCAUUAAGCAUUCCGCCUGGGGAGUACGGUCGCAAGGCUG